rnacentral:rRNA from 1 species
CCUACGGGUGGCUGCCGUGAUGAAUAUUGGUAAAUGGACGAGAGUCUGAACCAUCCAAUUCGCGUGAAGGAUGACUGCCCUAUGGGUUGUAAACUUCUUUUAUAUGGGAAUACAAUGUUCCACGUGUGGGAUUUUGUAUGUACCAUAUGAAUUAGGAUAGGCUAAAUCCGUGCCAGCAGCCGCGGUAAUACGGAGAAUCCGAGAGUUAUGCGGAUUUAUUGGGUUUAAAGGGAUCGUAGGGGGAUUGUUAAGUCAGUUGUGAAAGUUUGCGGUGCAACCGUAAAAUUGCAGUUGAAACUGGAAGUCUUGAGUACAGUAGAGGUGGGCGGAAUUCGUGGUGUAGCGGUGAAAUGCU